rnacentral:rRNA from 1 species
UACGAAGGGGGCUAGCGUUGUUCGGAAUUACUGGGCGUAAAGCGCACGUAGGCGGAUAUUUAAGUCAGGGGUGAAAUCCUGGAGCUCAACUCCAGAACUGCCUUUGAUACUGAGAAGCUUGAGUCCGGGAGAGGUGAGUGGAACUGCGAGUGUAGAGGUGAAAUUCGUAGAUAUUCGCAAGAACACCAGUGGCGAAGGCGGCUCACUGGCCCGGUACUGACGCUGAGGUGCGAAAGCGUGGGGAGCAACAGG